CGAACAAGCGUAUUGAUACUCGCAUCCCACGUUGAAUAUGUCUUGAUCAGACACGCGUUCAAGGGAGUCGACCGUGUUGCGAUUUAAACCAACACGGCCGAGACAAUGACUCCAACUCACCCUGUAAUUUGCUAAGUAAGAUUUGGUCCGCCGAACGCUUGAAAAUUACGUUAGGGUCGAUUUGGAACCAAAAACGUCGAAAACUCAUAAUUAACAACCAAACUCAAAUGACGAACGAACGCGAGUCAAAGAAAUCGACCGAGACAAAGUCAUGACGAGCUAAACACUACGACGAUUCAAUAUCUUGAACAACGUUUAUACCAAGCAAACAGUCACUUCGAAUCUUGAGAAAUCAUGUAUUUGAUAGACAAGUACAAUUAAAGGAAAACAGUUAAUGCAAUUCGAUGAGUUGGAACAAAACAGAAGAAAAACAACAAAUUAGAAGCCUCGAAAGGCAAAAAUCUAAAGGCAACAACACAAGUCCUACGAGACUAAAAAAAACAACAAACAAAAAAGACUAAGCUUCCUGAUCACUCUCGCGUUCGUUGAGGACGGAGAGCUCCGAAGCCCUGACGCUCGACUCACGAGCAGCCGGAAAAACUUGCGCUUCAACUGGUCUCGGGACGACCUCUGGAUCAGCCAAAGGACCUUCAAGAAGAGGCGCUGGGUCUUCGCGCCGUUCUUCAGUCGGAUGAGUAGGCGGAACGUGAAGACUCGCUGCAGUCUCCGGAUCGAUCAAGCCGGCGUUGGACCCAUAUGGAUCGAGACUCGCCAAGAUUCGAGCAUCCACAAACUGAGAGUCCAAUACGAGAGGAGAAAGUGUGAGAUCUUCCUCGGGUAUCUCACCCACCCUAAGCUUCUCGGCUUCCUCCUCGUAUUUCUUCUCUUGCUCGGCGAAUAUCUCGAUAGUAGCUUGCGAGAUGUCGCUCCCAGCCCUCCUCAAAGCCUCGAGGCAUUUCCUGGUUCCG
rnacentral:lncRNA from 1 species